UAGUAAUAUUCGGUGGUUAUU
ensembl:piRNA 21ur-3621 ncRNA